rnacentral:rRNA from 1 species
UACGUAGGGUGCGAGCGUUGUCCGGAAUUAUUGGGCGUAAAGAGCUCGUAGGCGGCUUGUCGCGUCGGAUGUGAAAGCCCGGGGCUUAACCCCGGGUCUGCAUUCGAUACGGGCAGGCUAGAGUUCGGUAGGGGAGAUCGGAAUUCCUGGUGUAGCGGUGAAAUGCGCAGAUAUCAGGAAGAACACCCGUGGCGAAGGCGGCUCUCUGGGACGGUACUGACGCUGAGACGCGAAAGCGUGGGGAGCGAACAGG